rnacentral:rRNA from 1 species
UAGGGAAUCUUCGGCAAUGGACGGAAGUCUGACCGAGCAACGCCGCGUGAGUGAAGAAGGUUUUCGGAUCGUAAAGCUCUGUUGUAAGAGAAGAACGAGUGUGAGAGUGGAAAGUUCACACUGUGACGGUAUCUUACCAGAAAGGGACGGCUAACUACGUGCCAGCAGCCGCGGUAAUACGUAGGUCCCGAGCGUUGUCCGGAUUUAUUGGGCGUAAAGCGAGCGCAGGCGGUUAGAUAAGUCUGAAGUUAAAGGCUGUGGCUUAACCAUAGUACGCUUUGGAAACUGUUUAACUUGAGUGCAAGAGGGGAGAGUGGAAUUCCAUGUGUAGCGGUGAAAUGCGUAGAUAUAUGGAGGAACACCGGUGGCGAAAGCGGCUCUCUGGCUUGUAACUGACGCUGAGGCUCGAAAGCGUGGGGAGCAAACAGGAUUAGAUACCCUGGUAGUCCACGCCGUAAACGAUGAGUGCUAGGUGUUAGACCCUUUCCAGGGUUUAGUGCCGUAGCUAACGCAUUAAGCACUCCGCCUGGGGAGUACGACCGCAAGGUUG